CGCCACGCACGGCGAGCUAAGCUAUAAUAUAUAUUUCAGAUUUCGGAUUUAUUCGCGCUGCAUGUCUCUUUGACUUUUGUUGGUGGAGACAAGAGACAGUUGACAAUUCCUGACUGUAAAUUGUCAGAUUUUUGGUUUGAUUGUUGUUUUUUUGCCAAAAACUUUUUGGUUAACUUAUUACUUAUUUAUUUUUAGAGGUGAUAAUACAUAUUUUUAUAUAAAUAUAACUAAAUCUUACAUUUUUUUAGUGGUAAAAAUAAGAUAAAAAAAUGAGUGAUCAUUUUACAUCCAUCCAGCGAUGAGAAUUUAGAAGGAAUUGACACUUAGGGAGUACCAAAAAAUUUAGAUUAUUUUGAGGAAACUGUGCCUUUGUUCAAUGGCGAUAAGUAUGUCCUGGAACAUUUUGGCAUCAUCAGAGUAAAAGUAGUAGAGAUGUUACAGGUUCAUUCAACACAUCCAAAAGUUGUUUACACAAAAUAGUAAGGAGAAUCACUUUUUUAUCUGCUGAAUACGUUCGUUGGCCAAAUGAGUAAAUGACAAUGAAAAACAGACUAUUUAAAGAUAUUUUCGUUAUUGCAAUUUCCCAGGGGGCUUAUGUGAAAAUCGAUAAACCAAAGGAAGAUCCAGAUUCAUAUUAAAAUAGGAACAAAAAUAUUCAAUACAGGCACAAAUGGUUUAUGGUCACGAGAAAAUGAUCAGGGAUAUAUUUGUUGUAUAUCCAGGUUCUGUACACUAUAGCAGAGUUUUAAGGAGAUCCAAUUUGUUUGCAGCUCUUCCACAAAGAUGUGGUGAAUACUAUAUUUUAGGUGAUAGUGAAUACACAUGUUUAAACAUUUUUUGACUCCAGUUAAAGACAAGGGUCAUUUAACAAGACAGUAAAGAAAUUAUAAUUAUUGUUCAAAAAUACAUAUGGGAUAGAGCAUUGUUUUGGAUUUCUCAAACAAAGAUUUAUAGGCAGCUGUAUCACCAUCCAUUAAGAAAUAUUAGAGAUAUAGUCCCAUUUAUAAGGGCUAGUGCAGUGUUACAUAACUUAGCAAUUGAUGAUAAUUUGCCCAUCAAUUGAAUGUUGAUGCACCUCAUCUUCUCAUUACCAACAAAUAUGAAAUUGAUGCUGUAUAUAGGUGGUCUUACAAAAAGAAAUUCAU